CAUGCCCCUCUGUGUGCCUGCGCCCUGGCACCGCCUGCGCCUCCUUAGCACCGCCUGUGCACCCCUGACACCGCCUGCGCCUUCUCUGUGUGCCGGUGCCUCCCUGGGUUUUUGGCGACAGGGAAGGAUGUGUGGCUGCAGCCGCGCCCCCAGCCUGUGGGCAGCCGCACCACCGCCCUUAAGUGCGUGUCUCCGGUAAGGCAUUUAGCUAGAAGGGGCUUCUGUUCCCCACUUCAAGCCACCACUUUCAAAUCCCUCGAAAAAUCAACCACAGCAACCACUUAAAAAUGAAAAAAAUAACUCUGAUAAAGUACAAUUUCCUUCCUUUCGAUUUAUGUCUGGAUAGAAGGCCAAUGCUGUCAGAGCACACCCUGUGCCGGUCACAUAAGCUGCUGCAGGAGGCUCCUGUGUCAGGGGUCCCCAUUCUUCACCCUCCGCAGAUGCAUCCCCUUCUCCACGUGGAGACUCCUCAGUUCCUUCCAUUGAAGAGACAGCGCUGCCUCUCUGGACCCUUGACUCUGAGUCAGGCCAUGUGACUUGUUCUGGUCAAUGGGAUGCCUGCUGAUGUGACACCUGAGGAGGCUCAGGACAGACUUGUGUUUUUCUGUGCCACUGCUGUGAGCGUGUGCCUGGGCUCUGGCUGAGGGAUGAGGUGUGAGGCGAAUCAUUCCAGAUGGGGCCAUCCUGGACCAUCCAGCAGCAGCUUCUCUGGACAGAGCAUUUGGAAGCAAAGUUUAAGAGAGGAUCGGGACCACAUGACCUCUGGAAAAGCCUCUGCCAACUCCACAUUCCCGGAGUUCCUGAGUCUGACGUUCGAGAAUAACGAAUCUGGUGGCCGUGAGCAGGUGCCUUCGUUUGCAAGAUGGUGCCAUUUGUCCAGGCUACGGCCAUCGUGGCAGAAAUUCUCACCAUGACCCGCAUUGCUGUGGAAACUUGUGCAUCCUUUUAAGACGAAGUGGCAAUACACCCACCGAAGGGCGUUCACGACGCUGGGUGUGGUCUGGUUGGUGGCAGUCAUCGUGGGAUCACCCAUGUGGUACGUGCAACAACUUGAGGUAGAUGUAGACUCGAGACUGGGAUCGAUAAUCUUAUUGUUCAACUAUUUUCUCCUCCUAACAAUAAACAUUUUCCUUCCUGCAAGAGUA